rnacentral:rRNA from 1 species
UGGGGAAUAUUGCACAAUGGGGGAAACCCUGAUGCAGCCAUGCCGCGUGUGUGAAGAAGGCCUUCGGGUUGUAAAGCACUUUCAGCGAGGAGGAAAGGUUGAUGCCUAAUACGUAUCAACUGUGACGUUACUCGCAGAAGAAGCACCGGCUAACUCCGUGCCAGCAGCCGCGGUAAUACGGAGGGUGCAAGCGUUAAUCGGAAUUACUGGGCGUAAAGCGCACGCAGGCGUUCGGAUAAGUUAGAUGUGAAAGCCCCGGGCUCAACCUGGGAAUUGCAUUUAAAACUGUCCAGCUAGAGUCUUGUAGAGGGGGGUAGAAUUCCAGGUGUAGCGGUGAAAUGCGUAGAGAUCUGGAGGAAUACCGGUGGCGAAGGCGGCCCCCUGGACAAAGACUGACGCUCAGGUGCGAAAGCGUGGGGAGCAAACA